CAAUAGCGUAUAUUAAAGUUGUUGCAGUUAAAAAGCUCGUAGUUGGAUUUCUGGUGGGAGCGAUCGGUCUGGCGCUUAGCGCGAGUACUUGCAUCGUCUCCGGCCAUCCUUGGGGAAAGUCUGUCUGGCAUUAAGUUGUCGGGCAGAGGAUCCUCGUCGUUUACUGUGAAAAAAUUAGAGUGUUCAAAGCAGGCUUAUGCCGUUGAAUAUAUUAGCAUGGAAUAAUAAGAUAGGACUUUGGUACUAUUUUGUUGGUUUGCGCACCAAAGUAAUGAUUAAUAGGGACAGUUGGGGGUAUUCGUAUUCCGUUGUCAGAGGUGAAAUUCUUGGAUUUACGGAAGACGAACUACUGCGAAAGCAUUUACCAAGGAUGUUUUCAUUAA
rnacentral:rRNA from 1 species